AGAUCAUUUUGAGGACAGUUUCUAAGCAAUCCCUUGUAAUGCUCCCAUGCCUCAUAUAAAGAUUCUCCCGCUUGUUGCUCGAAAUUUGCAGUAGCCUUCUUCAACUU